rnacentral:rRNA from 1 species
CAUGCAGGCGGUUUUGUAAGCCUGGUGUGAAAUCCUGCAGCUUAACUGUAGAAUUGCAUUGGGUACUGCAAGACUUGAAUCACGGAGGGGAAACUAGAAUUCCAGGUGUAGGGGUGGAAUCUGUAGAUAUCUGGAAGAAUACCGGUGGCGAAGGCGGGUUUCUAGCCGAUGAUUGACGCUGAGGUGCGAAAGUGCGGGGAGCAAACA